rnacentral:rRNA from 1 species
UGCGUAGGCGGCGCAGCAAGUCAGGGGUGAAAGGUUCCCGCUCAACGGGAGAAUUGCUUUUGAUACUGUUGUGCUUGAAUCAGGCUGAGGUCAGCGGAAUGUGGCAUGUAGCGGUGAAAUGCAUAGAUAUGCCAUAGAACACCAAUUGCGAAGGCAGCUGGCUAGACCUGUAUUGACGCUGAGGCACGAAAGCGUGGGGAGCGAACAGGAUUAGAUACCCUGGUAGUCC